AGAGUUUGAUCAUGGCUCAGAAUGAACGUUGGCGGCAUGGAUUAGGCAUGCAAGUCGAGCGAGAAGGGUUUUGAAGCUUGCUUUAGAACCCGGAAAGCGGCGAAAGGGAGAGUAACGCGUAGUUAUCUACCCCAAGGCCCGGAAUAGCUGCGGGAAACUGCAGGUAAUGCCGGAUAAUAUCCCCGGAUCAAAGGUGUGAUUCCGCCUUGGGAGGAGACUGCGUUGUACUAGCUUGUUGGUAGGGUAAUGGCCUACCAAGGCUACGAUGCAUAGCGGGCGUGAGAGCGUGGCCCGUCUCACUGGGACUGAAACACUGCCCAGACACCUACGGGUGGCUGCAGUCGAGAAUCUUCGGCAAUGGGCGAAAGCCUGACCGAGCGAUGCCGCGUGCGGGAUGAAGGCCCUCGGGUUGUAAACCGCUGUCGUAGAGGAGAAAGGUCUCGUGAAGAGCGAGAUUUGAUCUAUUCUAGGAGGAAGUCGGGGCUAAGUUCGUGCCAGCCGCCGCGGUAA
rnacentral:rRNA from 1 species